CCCAUCCAUGGACCAGGAAACAUGGUAACUCAAAAGAAAAGGAAAGUGACCUGAGGCAAGAGAGUCUGGCUGAGGCAAUAAGGCAGAAAAUCUAAUACGGUGGUAUGGGCUGUCUCAAGUGGCUAACUCUAAACCAUGAAGCUGACUGCACAGUGAACUCCCAAGUCCUCUGGGGAUGCAAGUCCACUGCCACGGCCCUCUGGCUCUCAGGAGACAUGUACUGUACACCUGCUGUGUAACUCUCAGUGUUGGGGAGUAAACUACAUGUAAUUAAACUAGUAGUUUAACAACAUUUUGCAGUAACCUGCUGGUAGUUUAAUCUGCCUUCAUAAGUGUGUAGUGACUAAAGUAAUUAAAUUACUUUUUUGUGUAGUUAACUACUGUAACUACAAAUAAUUUGGAGCCAUAAAAGGAAAGGAAUUAUUUUUUAUUUGUAUUUUACCAUUGGUUUUUUUAACCCUAAGUUCCUUUCAAUAAGAACUUUGAGAGAAUGCUUGUGUGUCAUAUGAACGAGAGAAGUAGUAGUAAAAAGACCAGUGUUGAAGCUGUUCAUGUGGACUAAAAGGUUCAAUACAGUUUUAAUUAAGCUUGUACAAGUUAAAUGUUGCAAAACUGAACACAAACAAAACACAACAGGCUCAUAUUUUUUAGACCAGCGCUAAAGUCAGUCAAACAGUCAAGGUGCACUUAAAUAUAAAUAUAAAUACAG